rnacentral:lncRNA from 1 species
GUCCUUGUUUGUCCUGUCUGUGUUUAGCCCCUUGUGGCUAGUAAAGAAAUAGGUAUCUAGUUACAGCUUUUUAUAAUUUAAGUUCAAAUCUCACUAAGAUCAACUUUACCUUUCAUUUUCCCUGGGUCCAUAUAAUCCAAAUUAUACCCUCCCCAAAAUCCUGGCCUUUUGCCUCUUUAAGAAGUCACUACUACUACAACCACUGAGUUGUUUGGCAAAAGUGAUGGACAUACAAUUUUACGACCCUUUAUGUUCUAAGUUCAUAUUUCAUUGAUGGUUGAUCAUUCCUUUUAAUCUCCCUGGAGUCAAUGAAUACUAAGGUUGAUCUAGUUAACCCCAUAAUAACUUUAUUAAGGUGGCAAGCUGACAGACUUGUUAACAUGCUUUUAGCAUUUUGUCUGUCUUUAUGCUCAGGGUUAGAGUUCCACUGAGCUUGAGUUUGCUUUUCCUCUUAAUGAGGUUGAUAUAAUUAAUUUGCCCCCAUCCCACAAAAUUUCAGGUCUUCUCAAAAUUAGAGUUAUUAUUAGUUGAAAGCUGUAGCCUCCCAUUAUUAUGAAGUUUUACUCAGUCACUCAGAAAAUAGUAGCUAAAUCUCUCUCAAAUAGCUACCCCUUCUGGACAAAAUGUCUUAUGGUAUUUAGUUAUGUGUUUUGUUUUUGUGCAUAAAUCUCACCACAGUUAACUUUCUCUUCCAUCCUUCAAGAAAGUUUUACAAAAUUAUAGAAAAUAAUAAUCAGGUACUGGGGUGGAUAUACCCUGAAUGCCUCCCUACCCCAUUCAGUUUGUAAGACACCCUGUCCAGUGAGAAAUCUGUCUUUUAUUAGUCCAUGGGUAGGAAACGCAUGCUUAGGACCAAGGGUGAAUUGCAGUUAUGUGUGGGUGCACCACAUCUGUGCUGGGGAAAAUAAUCUUAAAUUUACAAUUUAAUUUGGGUGUAUAAUUUGUUUUAAAUUAUUGUUAUUGGUUUUAAACAGAUUAUUUUCCAUAAUCUGUUUUAUCCUUAAAAUGUGGUUGUUUAGAGAGAGACAACAUCUGUGGUUGGUGGAUUUAGAUUUAGAUAAAGCUAUUCCCCACCUUUCAUAUUUGAUUAAUACCUGAGAAUCUUGACUAAAGAUUGAUAGCAUACACCCACCCCUAGAAGAGAAUUUACUAACCACAGGAUCAGCAUUAAGAGUUCUAAAUCACAGACCAUUUUCUCCAAGUAACCAGAAUGAAAGCCCUGCUGAAACCCUACAGAGAACUUCUGCGGUAUCCUUUGGACCUGCUAGAAAUAGUAGCCAAACCACAUCAAACCCUCUUACAGAAAGAACACAGACAACAUGCUUCUAGCAGCAUUGUGACCAAGUCAAGAUGGUUCCUAACAAGGGGGGUCUUUGAUCAUAAGUUUGGUCAGUCAGGUAUAUCCUUCAGCUAAAUAAUAAUUAAAACUUAAAUGCAAGUUCUAUGGUUGUACUUAACUAUGUUGGCAGUGAGACGUACUCUAAUUGGGCUAAACUAGAGUACCCCAACCAACACAUUUUCUACACACUACUUACAAUCUACAACGAAAUAGAGAAAUAUAACAUAUUUAACAGAAAUAUAACACAUACACAAGAAAUUUAGAAAUAUAACAUACAUACACACACACAUUUUUAGCUUCUUUCUGACAUAAGACAAAAUCCUACCGGAAAGAAUAAGGGAUCUCACAAGGGACUCUGAUGACCCCAGAUUUUAGCCAUGUGCAUGUGGGAAGUGCCAUACAUUAACAACCAAAUCUACAUUUCAAUUUUGUGCCGUUGUAAAAGAGACAGAAAUUGGUUAUUUUUGUUUUAGUUGAUGAUAAUAAUAAUGAUGAUGAUGAUGAUGAUGAUUAGUAGCAACAACAACAAUGAGAUAUUCAUUAACACUUUAUAAUUAAUCUUAGAGAUUUCUAAUGAAUUUCUAUCAAGAAUCAAGGUUAUUAUCAACAAAAAACUUCCUCCCCACUCUCUCUGAAACAAACACACACACUCUCUCUCUCUCUCUCUUUCACUCUUUCCCUCUCUCUCAGCUGUUUCUCUCCCUUUACUUUCCUCUCCUUCUCCUCCACAAAUUCUUCCCUCUCUCCUUCUCUUUAAUUCUACCUCUCAAUCUUUUACUUACUCUGUCUCCGUCUUUCUCGUUUUUCCCUUUCAACCAACGAAAGAGCCCCUAUGCGGUUAAUUGUUCUGCUACAAAUAGCAGCACAAUCACCUUCAAAUCACAGCUGGAGUAUCUUUGAUCAUAGGUCUGUCUGUUUACUAGAUCAAGGUUAACCUGAGGCUAAACAACACCAACUCAUUGAUUUCAAAUGUCUCCCCCCCUCCAUGCCCAACCCCCCAAAGUCUUCUAUAUUUCUAUCUCCUUCUCAGUCUCUCUUUUACUCUUCUUUUCACCCCACUUCCCAUACAAUGUACAAGAAUGAGGCCUACCCUCACUACUACUACUACUACUACUAUACUACUACUAAUACUACUACUACUACACUUCACAGAUUUUUAAUUAGAAAUCAUUUAGUUAUAGAAUGCACCAACCAUUGUCUAAUCAAGCACACCCCUGAUUUUCAAUGACCAAUCAGUGUCUCAUUAAGUCCACUGUUGAUCAAUGAAUAACCUGAAACCCUCCCACUCUUCCCCACCCCCACAAUCACCCACUACUGACCAGUCACUAUCCACAUUCUAUACUUUCCACUGGUCAACAUCACAGCAUCUUCAUCCCUCCCCAUCUCAUAUCUCACUCUUCUGACCUUCACCUUUCACCUUUGACUCACCUCCCACCCUCACCCAGAUAGUUUUAUAUACUGCAAAAAAAAAAGAAGAAAAAAAAAAGGAAAGCAAGAAACAAUACAAAUAUAGUGUAAAU